AAUUAAAGAGAUUAAAAAUGUAGACAAAGAACAAUAUUACAUUUCAGAAAUGGUAAUCCAAUUUUCAAUUUCAUAGAGCACGAUAGAACAGAUUAGAGCAUGUGUUAUAAGUGAAAGGAAUAGCAGGUAAUGCUAGGUCAAUUCCAGGUAAUGCUAGGUCAAUUCCAGGUAAUGCUAGGUCAAUUCCAGGUAAUGCUAGGUCAAUUCCAGGUAAUGCUAGGUCAAUAGCAGGUAAUGCUAGGUCAAUAGCAGGUAAUGCUAGGUCAAUUCCAGGUAAUGCUAGGUCAAUUCCAGGUAAUGCUAGGUCAAUUCCAGGUAAUGCUAGGUCAAUUCCAGGUAAUGCUAGGUCAAUUCCAGGUAAUGCUAGGUCAAUUCCAGGUAAUGCUAGGUCAAUUCCAGGUAAUGCUAGGUCAAUUCCAGGUAAUGCUAGGUCAAUUCCAGGUGAAUACCAGGAAACAUAAGUAAAUAGCAGGUAAUGCUAGGUCAAUUCCAGGUAAAUACCAGGAAACAUAAGUAAAUAGCAGGUAAUAUUAGGUAAAUAGCAGUGGGAACAGUACCGCAAAAUAAAGUAUAAUUAAACAUCUCCCUUAGAUAAUGAUCGUUAGUAUUUAGUAGGGCAGAAAAACCAGGUGGUAUGACUCAGCAAUGAUGACCCUUCAUGGGGAAUGAGUGGCAGAGGGGAGGACGUUACCUUGGGAGUAGAAGUAGCGACACACAGAAUGGAGAGAGGUGAGG